UCAGGUGUGAAACGCUCACGCGCACAGCCACACAUACAGAGACGGCGCACGUUUCCCUCGCAGAUCUCGCGAUUCGUAGAGCCAUAGGCGUCGUUGGACCAAAAAAACUCUGUUCACUGUGUUAAGGGUGGGAGGUGAGACCAUGUAAGAAUAUCAAAUGCAUUGACGUCUUACGCAGCAAGGAAGGUAUCAAGAAAAGAAUUGAAUAAAGCGUAAUACUACGGAGAAUCAUAUCAGAAUUCCGAAGGGGCCUCGAAUGCGCGACACGUGCGACUUCGAAUUAGAAAAAGUAAACACGCGUUCGGCCAGGUGGCGCGGAAUGUCGUUGCUACAUCGAUGAGCAGUUUUACGCGCACAGGAACACGUGAUAUGAUGACUCACCGAUCAUCUAUUCCUAUUCCUUCAUUCAGUAGAGUGAUUGACUCAGUACAGAGAAGAUGGAAAGUAUUUCGCUGUGUCGAGUUAAGCAAUCUUUACCGUGCCAAUCGUCCCGUGGACUUUUCUUCUUCUCUUCAUUUAUCAAGGGGGUGGCUACACGGAACUCGAUAAGAAGCUUAGCGGAGAUUCGACUCGAAAAUGGCCGAGCGUAUCGACGGUGCAUCUACGAGAAAAACUUCUACGAGUCUCGUCCUUUGUAUUGACCUGCAAUCCACUUUCAAUAGACGCCAUUGGGAUAAUCGCUGAUGAAAUUCCUCGAUUCGUUUAUAGGGAAAUACACGAGGAGAACAACGUUUUUAUUUUAUCUUAUUUAAACCUUUUCGAGAAUAUUCAAAGACGAUUUAAUUGCUGAAAAUAUGGACAGGGAGCGGCAGAAUAAUUAAUAAAAUAAUCCCAACUCUCAUAACUCUUAUAGAAUUCUCGAAAUCCUUUAUCCUGAUUAAAACAAUUCGAAAUCCCCUAAUCUUCUAAUCUCCUCUCUAAACCUUGGCGAUCAAACCUGCGCCAAAUUCCUGCGUCUGAUCCGUCUCCUGUUUGGAAAAGAGCCACGAAACUAAGCAAACGAAAAACCAAGAAAGAAAGAAAGAAAGAAAGAAAGAAAGAGAAAAAAGGGAAGAUAAAAGAGAGAAAAGGAAGGGAAAAAGCAGAGUUUCUAUCGCGCGAAUAGGAAAAACCCGGACACCACCACCACCACCAUCUGGUAGAACCGCUCGUGGAGGGGCAGGGGGCGGAUGGGGAUGGAGGCGGCGAAAGAAAGCAACAAAGAACAAAAGAGAGUGGAGAGCGUGAACGAGGAGUUUAACCAUCGUCCCGUAAUAUUCCGUCGCUGUGGCAUGCAGACGAGAAAGGAACGGCUGAUGGCGGUGACAAAAAAAUGGAAACUAUUUGAUCGUGAACCACCCUCUCUCGCGCUGAUACUCGGGGCUGAACACGAGGCUGGGCCUCGGAUACCGAUACACACACGCACCCACACACGUACACGCGCGCGAGGCACGCGGAGAAGAAGGAUGGAGGCGAAAAAGCGGAGUGCUCUUUCCACGAGGGGCGGGGGGAGGGGGGGAGAGAGGGACACGUAAAGGGGGUUGCACGCCGAUGGGGUUGAAACGAGGCGGAGGUGGAGGUGGAUUGAAAGGUGCGAGGGGAGGGGGGAUGGGCCGGGCUACUCUCUCUGUCCACAAGCGAGCGACUGUGCACACGCCUAAAAGGGUUUUCGUUAGAUUUCAUUUCACACCCAAUUACCUGGCACACAUUGGGGCACACACGGUUGGGGAAGAGGGUGGGGAGGGGGUGAAAAGACACGGAGGCGCGACAAACGGUGUUGCGCGGCGUUGCGGUGUAAAAAUACACCGAAAUGUUGGGGGAGGCAUCCUCGGAUAUAUCGUAUCACCCCUCGUAUUGUCCGUCUUCCGUGGAUUUUAUUUUACGCCCAAUUAUUGCGGCGUGUGUGUAUAUAUAUACAUAUAUGUGUGUGUGCGUGGUUAGAGGUAAGUGAAAAGAGAGGAGGAUAGCGAGAGAUAAAAAUACACGAAACGUGGGAGGGAUAUUCUGUUCUUUUUUUUUUUUUUAAGAUCUCGUUUCAUAGCCAAUUAUUAAUUGAUAUAUAUACAUAUGUAUAUGGAGACACGAAGAUAUAAAGAUACAUUGGAUCGCCGCUUGAUAUUUCGUGGAUUUUAUUCUUCAAUAAUUAGGGCGUACAUCGGGAUAUGUGGUUAGGAAAAAAUAGAAAGGAAGGUAUAAAAGAAGGGUUAUAGUUAGACGAAGGAACGACGUAAAAAAACUUGCACGCCUUGGAGGCGCAAGGCAAUAUUGAAAAGUUUAAAAAUAGAGGCAUUGAAAGGCAUCGGGCUAAAUCACGAAACACAUUCCCCGAUGAUACCCUUAUUUUCUAUAGACUCCACAUUCCACGUACCCAAUUAUUAUUCGACGUGCAUUGUCAGAUUAGGGAUAAUGGGAAAAAAGAAGAUGCAAGGCAAUACAUCGCAGCGAUAAAAAUAGGCAGAAUUAUUGUUCCAUUCUUAUUCCAUCGCAAUUGUUACCCGAUACAUAUUGAGAUUUAAAAAAAAGAGAUGCGAGAUGACGACGGCGAAUAUGUAAAAAUAUACGAAAUAAAAGUGUUAUAUCGCGAAAUAUAUAUAUAUAUAUGUGUCACUCGUACUCGAUAUUCCGUUUAACUCUCGGCCACGAAUUUUGUGAUCGGUGAGGCACGCGAGCGCGGAAACGACGAGAGUUGGGGAGGGAGGGGGUUGUCCGCUGUUACGAUCAUCCCCCUCGGUGUGUUGCGAUACCAUGGCGAGCCGCGAACCGUAUUUUCAAAUCGUUCGAUGCGUUUUAGAUUGACGCGUUAGAUGCGUUUGCUUUAUUGUAUUGCACUGUAUCGCGGUGUAUUGUGGAUUUCGGUAGGGGAGGGAGGGGGGAGGGGGCGUGUAUAUUUCGCGAUCGGUACUCGUGUAGCCGAUUGAUUGGCUAGGGUUGUUGAUUUGGACGAUUGUAAUGCUGCUGGUUUCGAGAGAUUUCGUUGGGAAUCGCUCUCGGUGGAUGGAGCGAUUUGUUAAAUAUCGUUUAUCUUUAAAGUUAAAGUAGGAAAUCAUUUUUUGGGGGGCGGAUGUACGAUGUGAUUUAUAACGGAUGUUAAAUAUCAAUUUUUGUUGUACUCGCUAUUAAAAAAUCCGCAUUCUGAACAAUUGAAUCGAAAAGACGAUAAGAUAAUUUUUAAAUUUUUAAAUUCGAUCAAAGUUUUUAAACUCCUUUUUUAUCGAUGAAAUAACUUUAAAAUGAAUUACUUGUGUAUAAAUAAAUAUAUAGUUAUUUUUUUUUUUUUUUUUAAUAUAAUAUAUCUUGAAAAGGAAAUUUUUCAUUAAGCACGAUUGUCACGUUGUUAAAAAUCAAUUAAACGCGAGUCACGGUGAAAUAUACUCGUAUCACGAAUGAAUUUUAAACCAAAAAUUUGUUUUUACAGUUGUGCGUGUACCUAUUUUCUGUUUGAAUAUAAACCUAUUUGGUAAGCAUAGCGCGCUACCGUCCUGUGUAACGUUUACUUAAAAUUAAAAUUAAAAUUCUCACGGAUGAGAUGGAACAGUAAACAUACACUUUUGCAGUGGCUUUAAUGCCGGUAUUGUUUAACUUUGUUAGAAAAAAAAGAGAGGCAGGGGAAGGAGAAGAGAGGAAAACAGAAGAGAGAGAGAGAGAGAGAGAGAAAUUUCAAGUCUGUGAUUAUACUACGAAAUCAGUUGCUUGGAAAGAGGCAAAACGAGAUACUUGGCGUCGUGGAUAUUUGGAAAACCUUGCUCUUCAAAUUUCAUUUUAUUCAACUUUGAAGAAAGGGGAGAAAGCGCGUGGGAAGCGAAAAGGGACAAAGCGAUGGUAAUUUUUAUCACGCCCGUUUUUUUUAUUCCGAAAAUGUUAGAACCUGAAAAUAAAUUUCGAGGCAAUUACAAAAUAACGCUCGUCGUUUACGCUGUUUUCGUAUGACAAUGUUACGGAUGUCCCUCUUUUGUUUCGUUUCAUACUGUGUUUAACUGUUUUUAUGUUUUUCUUUCUUUAUUGCACGCAUAUUUUUAUAAAAGGAUUACAGUUAUGAUGUUUACAUUUUAUUUUCGCGUGGCAACGAUGAAACGAAGCUGCCCACACAAAUCAGUUUCGUAAUAUAUUAUUCCACGUAUGACCACUACAUUCGCAACGAUUAAUUCAAAUUGGAAGCCCAAUUAUGCAACCUUCGUAUAUAUAUUUAUUCGUUUAUAUUUCACCAUUUUCAUAGAGAAUAGGAUAACUCUUUUUCCUUAAAUAAAUCAUCACUCGUCCCAAAGAAACUUUCCCUUCCUCCCUCGCUAAAAAAAAAAAAAUAUCAAGAUCCGCGAAAUGGUAAAAGACGCACGAUUCCAGCUCUUAAGAAAAAAGAAAA